rfam:Ipomoea nil DNA, scaffold: scaffold0861, cultivar: Tokyo-kokei standard.
GUCAGGAUGAUUGAUUGGUCUAAGGUGCCAGACUCAAGUUUUGGUCCUCGUGAGAGGGCGUGGGUUCAAAUUCCACUUUUGACA